CUUAAGAGGCAGCUGGGGCGCUGACCCAGGGCAGGCCCUGGCAGUCAGAGGCCCGCACCUGUGCCCCGGUCCUUGCAAUGCCCCUUGGCUCGCCCUGGCUGCAGCUGGAGCCAUUUCCAGGACGCAGCCUUGGGAGGCCGCGUGCUGUGGAGACCACCUGCGUGGGGUGGGCCGCUGAGCCCAGGUGAAGCCUCUCCAUAAACGUAGGGUUCCGGCGCGGGCGUGGAGACCGCCUGGCCUCGCCGCCUCUGGGACACACGCCCGGCUCUGGGCGUCCAUUCCUGGAAAGCAUUUGGAAAAGAGGCUUUGAAGGACCCAAAUGGCUGCCCGGGAGGAAACCCCGGCUGGGGUCGCGGACUUGCAGAUUCUGCGCCGACGGCGCCGUGCGGUUCACGUCCCAUUGUCAGGAUGAUAACAGCGCAGUGUCGUCCUAUUAUGUUCCAGACCAUUGGCCAAGCAAUGAAGAUACGCAAGAAACAAGAAAAAAGUCUUUGCAGUCCUGGAGCUUACAUAUUUGUGAAGAAAGAAGACAUC